AUGUAGCUUUUCAAGUCCCAAAGGCAGGAAACAUCGGUGUGAGAUGUGCCCUGGCUGCUACCCCAAGGCCACUGUCAGGGCAGAUGUUGCUUCCUGUGACCAUGGACCAGGGCAAGCAAUACCCAUAGAUGCACAGCUAGUAUUCAGAUAUCAAAGGCCUUUUCUGCUUGUAUGUGGCCCACUAGCUGUCUGUUGGAUGGUAGUAGAAAUUCCAUGGAAAAGUCGUGUUGAAUAGAUUCAUGGCAGGCAAUAAUCUGUUGCAGACCUUGGCUUUCCUGUAAGAGAUGGAACAGGUGAGGGGAUGAACCAGUUGGAGAUGAGGACUGGCAGGAACCCCAAUUUCAGUGUGUGCACCUCCUUGUCUGAAGCAGGAAUCAGUGUGUGGAAAGCAAAUUCACCAGAUCUUUCUGCUGAAGAUGGCUAUGUAAAUCAGGAAUAUCUCCAAUGAAGCCCAUUAAAAUUGCAUCCAUGGAAAACUGGUGUGAAAAAAGAUCCAAACUUAUUGACUUCCUCUGGAAUUUGUAUGAAUGAAUAAAGAAUAAAGAAACUGAAAAUUUUAUUUUUUGCCUUGGAUUUUCUUCCACAAACCUUAACUCCCUAGAAGCGUGGCUGAAAUAAUUUUCCACUGAAUAAUUAAUCAGGAUAUUCAACUGCUUAAUACUGAACUAUUAAAUGAAAAUGAGAAUAGGUAGAGAGGAAAUUUGGAGUAAAAUACUAGGAAUAUUUGCAACAAAAAUUAAUCUUUGCCAAACACUUGUGCCUGCAUGUAAGACCAUACUUUUAACUGGUAAAA